rnacentral:rRNA from 1 species
CCUACGGGAGGCAGCAGUGGGGAAUAUUGGACAAUGGGGGCAACCCUGAUCCAGCCAUGCCGCGUGUGUGAAGAAGGCCCUCGGGUUGUAAAGCACUUUCAGUGAGGAAGAACGCCUGGUGGUUAAUACCCAUCAGGAAAGACAUCACUCACAGAAGAAGCACCGGCUAACCCGUGCCAGCAGCCGCGGUAAUACGGAGGGUGCGAGCGUUAAUCGGAAUUACUGGGCGUAAAGCGCGCGUAGGUGGCUUGAUAAGCCGGUUGUGAAAGCCCCGGGCUCAACCUGGGAACGGCAUCCGGAACUGUCAAGCUAGAGUGCAGGAGAGGAAGGUAGAAUUCCCGGUGUAGCGGUGAAAUGCGUAGAGAUCGGGAGGAAUACCAGUGGCGAAGGCGGCCUUCUGGACUGACACUGACACUGAGGUGCGAAAGCGUGGGUAGCAAACAGGAUUAGAUACCCUAGUAGUC